GUGCUCGCUUUGGCAGCACAUAUACUAAAAUUGGAAUGAUACAGAGAAGAUUAGCAUGGCCCCUGCACAAGGAUGACACGCAAAUUUGCGAAGGUUUUGCAGUAUUA